rnacentral:rRNA from 1 species
UGGGGAAUUUUCCGCAAUGGGCGCAAGCCUGACGGAGCAAGACCGCGUGGGGGAUGACUGCCUAAUGGUUGUAAACCCCUUUUCUCUGGGAAGAUGAUGACGGUACCAGAGGAAUCAGCCUCGGCUAACUCCGUGCCAGCAGCCGCGGUAAUACGGAGGAGGCAAGCGUUAUCCGGAAUUAUUGGGCGUAAAGCGUCCGUAGGUGGUUGUUCAAGUCUGCCGUCAAAGCGUGGGGCUCAACUCCAUAGAGGCAGUGGAAACUGUGUAACUAGAGUGCGGUAGGGGUCGAGGGAAUUCCCAGUGUAGCGGUGAAAUGCGUAGAUAUUGGGAAGAACACCAGUGGCGAAAGCGCUCGACUGGGCCUGCACUGACACUGAGGGACGAAAGCUAGGGGAGCGAAAGGGAUUAGAUACCCCCGUAGUCC